UCAGUCCACAGACCAACGGUCUAUCCACUGAGCCAAACCGGCCAGGGCUAUUUUAUAGUUGGACAAAUAGUCACUGGCUAUGGCAUGGACCCCAGAGAGAACAUGGAAUCCUUGUUCUCUCAAGUUUAUUAGCUGUGAGGCCUUGGACAAGUUACUGCCCUCUCUGUGCCGUCUCCCGCAUCUGUAAAAUGGGGAGAAUAAAGACCUCAAGGGCUGGUUGGGAGCUCCUUAUGGAAAGUGCUCCUCAAGGCAGGGCCUGGCACUCAGGAAGCUGUUAGCAGGGCCUCUUGUUUUCACCCAACUUCCCAGAUUGACCUGGGAGUUAUUUUCAUUCUCUGAGCCUCAGAUUUGCUCAUCCAUAAAAUGGGAUGACAACCCCCUCCUCGAAGAUUAAUUAUGUAAAUGCUGUGCCCGGUGCCUUGUCACCCACUGGCCCCAUCUGUUUCUCAGGCCUCAGCCUUUCUCAUUGUCUGCAGUGCUCAGAGGCAUGCUGUCCUAGAACGCUCUGCUCCCAACCACCAGGAUGGAAUCACAAGACAGCGGAGGGCGCAGGUUAACUGAGGAUACUCUGUCUGAGGCUGGCAUCGGUCCUAUGAGAGCACCUCAGUUCCUCCUGAGAGAUUCCUGAGACUUCCAGGAGCUGAGGGCUCCCAGCUCAGUCAUCUCCCCAACCCCCAACUCUGCAAGAAAGAUGUUAUUAUCCUUAUUGUAUAGGUGGGUCAUGUGACUGCAUUGGUGAAGUUGUCCCAUUUUACAGAUGAUGCUACUGAGGCAGAGGAAGGUGAAGUAUUGGAAUUUGAACUCAGACCCACUGACUUGCCUCUACCCCCCAGCAGCCCCAGGGAAGACAGUUGGAGUGGGAUGAGCAGAAACAAUUGGGAAUAUCAAACUCUGCCUGUUGCUUCAGCUGGUUAAAACUUCUUUACAUUUGCACCGCAGAAUCGAAAACUUUUCCUGCAGGAAAAGGUGCUUGUCUUGGGGUCAGACCGAAUGUCCUCUGUGAGCUGAACUUCUCUGCUGUCGCUUAAACCCGCCCCAGGCUGAUCUGAGUCAAGAGAGGCCCCUUCCUCCUUUCCUGGCGGGCACCAGCCUCCGCCUUGCUGUUCCCUCGGAUUUUUAUUCCCUGGGCGAAGCAAUGGAGCUCUUAAUUAAAUUCUCUUGUUAGAAGUCAAGCUUAAGGAAAACAAACAGAAAAAACCUCU